UCCAGCUCAUUGGUCUAAAACGUCAUAUUCGUCCGCAAUACCGGUCGUACUCUUUCCCCUUGAAUGACCAUCGGACAUAUAUUAGUGAACAACCUUUACUAUUAAUGUGGUCAUUAAGAGGUAAAAAAUAUUUAUUUAUUUUUAAUCUUAUGAAAUAGGAGAAAGUUUGGAAAACCGGUAAUAUAAACCCUUUAAGUUUCAUUGGAAAAAAGAGUCCGAAUGUUUAAGAAAAUA